UACGUAGGUGGCAAGCGUUGUCCGGAAUUAUUGGGCGUAAAGGGCUCGCAGGCGGUCUUCUAAGUCUGAUGUGAAAUCUUGCGGCUUAACCGCAAGCGGUCAUUGGAAACUGGAGGACUUGAGUACAGAAGGAGGAGAGUGGAAUUCCACGUGUAGCGGUGAAAUGCGUAGAGAUGUGGAGGAACACCAGUGGCGAAGGCGACUCUCUGGUCUGUAACUGACGCUGAGGAGCGAAAGCGUGGGGAGCGAACAGG
rnacentral:rRNA from 1 species